AUUCUUUCGCAGUGGCAGUAUCAUAACCUAUGAGGUUUAUCCGAGGUGCGAUUAUUGCUGGUUGAAAACUUUAACCCAAUACCCGCCUUAAUGACUCGAAAUAGUCAGCGACGGCAAUUUUUGAUAGUCUCUAUCGAGA
rnacentral:snRNA from 1 species